rnacentral:rRNA from 1 species
UACGAAGGGGGCUAGCGUUGCUCGGAAUCACUGGGCGUAAAGCGCACGUAGGCGGAUUGCUAAGUCAGGGGUGAAAUCCUGGAGCUCAACUCCAGAACUGCCUUUGAUACUGGCGAUCUCGAGUCCGGGAGAGGUGAGUGGAACUGCGAGUGUAGAGGUGAAAUUCGUAGAUAUUCGCAAGAACACCAGUGGCGAAGGCGGCUCACUGGCCCGGCAUUGACGCUGAGUGAGCGAAGCCAGGGAGCAAAGCGGGAU